rnacentral:rRNA from 1 species
UCGGGAACUGUGAGACAGGUGCUGCAUGGCUGUCGUCAGCUCGUGUUGUGAAAUGUUGGGUUAAGUCCCGCAACGAGCGCAACCCUUAUCCUUUGUUGCCAGCGGUUCGGCCGGGAACUCAAAGGAGACUGCCAGUGAUAAACUGGAGGAAGGUGGGGAUGACGUCAAGUCAUCAUGGCCCUUACGACCAGGGCUACACACGUGCUACAAUGGCAUAUACAAAGAGAAGCGACCUCGCGAGAGCAAGCGGACCUCAUAAAGUAUGUCGUAGUCCGGAUUGGAGUCUGCAACUCGACUCCAUGAAGUCGGAAUCGCUAGUAAUCGUAGAUCAGAAUGCUACGGUGAAUACGUUCCCGGGCCUUGUACACACCGCCCAGUCGACACCAUGGGAGUGGGUUGCAAAAGAAGUAGGUAGC